rnacentral:rRNA from 1 species
UACGUAGGGGGCUAGCGUUGUCCGGAAUCAUUGGGCGUAAAGAGCGCGUAGGCGGCUAGAUAAGUCCGGUGUGAAAGUCACAGGCUCAACCUGUGAAUGCCGCUGGAAACUGUCUGGCUAGAGUCCGGAAGGGGCGAGUGGAAUUCCUGGUGUAGCGGUGAAAUGCGCAGAUAUCAGGAGGAACACCAAUGGCGAAGGCAGCUCGCUGGGACGGUACUGACGCUGAGGCGCGAAAGCCAGGGGAGCAAACGGG